GCGCUCGUAGAUUUCCUUUGUUUUGUUAAAGUAUUAUAAAACUUACUAUCUUUAAACCUGAUAACCUUGGUAUUUGUAUUUAUGGGUUAAAAUUAAAUCUCUGCCGUCACAAUUAAUUUGUCUUAUAAUAAUAAUAAAAACAAAAUAAUAAAGCCUCAAAACUUCCAGUAAUUAAUAAUUAUUUGUUUUGAUGUAUAGUUGGAAACUAUACACAUGUAAAUAGAUAAAUGAAUGAAUAAAUAGAAACUGCAGACAGAUUAACUCAAAUUCAGCACAAUACAGAAGAAUUGAAGUAUUGGUCAGCAAUAAAAACACAGUCAAAACGUAGAUUUAAAAAAAUUUAAUUAAAUGAAAGUUGCCCAGACAGAACUAUAAACAUAUAUAUUUUGUAAAUGAAUAUAUAUUUAUAAUAUAACACAUGGAAGGACUGCAUUUUGUGUUUUGUUAAGUUAAUAAUGCAAAAGAAACUUCCAGUUUCUACAACAUAAUUUCAUGAUUGUAAACCGAAUAUUUUGGUGUUUGGACAGAACAACUAGUUUAAGGAUUGAUGUAACAUUUCUCUGUCUGUUUCAGCUGUAACCACAGCCGUGAUGUCACCGUGUACCAGAGCACACCUGUCCAUCACUGCAGCCAGGUGAUGCCUCAGAGGUCGGAGGUUAAAUCUGGUAAUUAGUUCAUUAUUUCAGUCGUUUAAUGAAGCAGGACGUUUGUAUUUAUGUUUGUAAGACUUUAUUUUACCGGUCGUGUGAUCAGUAGUUUUCCUGGAUGUUUAUUUAUGUUUAAUAUCAAUAAUCUGAAAAAUAUAUUGUAGGAAACAUUUAAACGCUGGAGAUAUUUUAGGCAGACUUCACAUCAGAUAUCUGUACUCGUGUCUCGAUAUUAUUAUCCUAAAUGUACUUGAUUGCUUUCCACCACUGUUUUAUAUACUCGUAAACUAAAUAUUUUCAGGUUUUGGUCUCAACAUGUCAGAAAAAUAAAAAGGUUAAUUGACGAAUCUGAAAGAUGAUUAAUGGAUAAAGAGUCAGUUGCAGCCGUAGUGAACAAAAAGGUAAUACAUGUCUGUAUCUUUUCUUCAUCAACAGGAUGUGAUGUCACCUGUCAAUCAGAUUGUGUGGGCGGGGCCGAGAUCUUCUGUCACGAGAAUGCGUCGUCAAGGUAACCUGUGUUUGCCUCCAACUGUGUCCACCUGUCCUGCUCCAGAGGGCGUGGCUAUACCUGCAACAGCCAAUCAGGGACAAGACGUCACACAGGUGAUUCCAUGAGGAGUUAUUUCCCCGCUCGAGAAACGUAACGUGUUGUUGUUGUUUACAGGAACAUGUAGCACCGGUACCUUUGGUCUCGUCCCCUUUUCCUGGUGAACAGCUGCAGCACGCCAACAUGAUGCCCUGUCAGCCAAUGGGAGAAGGAGAAACACAGGUCGCCGUGGCUCCAGGUCGGGUCUAUCUGGACGGCCAAUCGAGCGCCGCGGAUGCUCCUUUGUCCCGCCUUCAGCUCCGGGACGGACAGGAUGAACUAGAACAGAGAUUGCGAGCCAGGGCGUCUCGUCCAACAUCAGUGUCGGACCUCACAGACGCUCUUUAAAAGUGAUGUGGUUGUGAACAGUCUCCCAGUGUAGAUCUCCUUCUCUGUCCGACAUCCAGUCACACACUCCGUGAUCGAAGGCUCGACCCAGAUCAUCUGCUCUCAUCCUGACGUGUGAACAAGUGCAGCUGCUGAAAUGUGAAACGGGAAACGACGCGAACCUGCAGACAAAACAGCUGUUUGUUGUUAUAAAGACAAAAAAUCUGGGUGAAAGAAGGGAUCAGCACACGCAGGAAUCUGAGAGUUUUAGGAGAAGGUGUUGACCCGACUCUUCACUGAGGAGCUACGCGGCUGUUUGUGGCGAGGAGGCGGUGUUACCUGUACAGCUGCCGUCUUUACACCUGCACUUCGGAGAGGCUGGAUUCAGAUCGCAGAACGGCCGAGUGUCCUUAUCUGGUGACACAGAGAGAGAUUAUUAACAGUCACUCUGAAGUUUUUACACUUGUUUUCUGAAUAAUAAAAUAUCACUUUUUGGU